rnacentral:lncRNA from 1 species
UUUUUUUUCUGGUGAUUUAAUCAUAAUAUUGACAACUUUAUCAAAAAUUACAAAACUGAUAUUAAAAAAAUCUCUAAUUCUUAGUAAGACUAGAAUGGGUUUUUUUUUAAAAAUAGAAAAGCACUUUUAUGCUACGGCUCUUCUGGAAUUCUCACAUUACAACCCUACAUAGCAAAAUACAAACUGUAGCUAAGAAAGGUAGCAGUCCUAAGGUAAUUCAGUCCACCAUGAGCCCUCUAAUAUCUCUAUACCAUCAAACUCAGGGACUCCAAAAGGAUAUCACAUUACUUAGACACCUUCUGCAGAGCUGAUUUAGGAAAUACCUUUAAAUUUUAAGCUCUUUUUAACCCCUAAAACCUCAGACUGUGAGGAUAACAGACCUGGGACAUCAGAGGUGGGUUGGGGUUUUUUUUGAUUUUUGCAAGUUUUUCUUUUUAAACUAUGUGGAUAUUAUUUUUGCAGCUGAUACCAGCCAAACAUUUUCUGUCAGAAGUGAAAAUAUGAAGAAAAUCCAUUGAAAUAAAUGAAAAUAUUUUUUUUAUGGUGUUCACAAAAUGCACCAUAAUAGAAAGAGGAAUAUUUCCUUUAAUUUGAAUGUCAUCUGAAUGACUCAACCACAUUGUCACCCACUUAGCAAAAGAAAGCAUAAUAAAUAAAUAAAUAAAUAGACAAGAAUAUGUAACACUUUACAUUCUCAAAGAAUCAUGUCGUUCCCUAAUCUACUGAGAUACUGCUUGACAUCGUGGGCUCACUUCACUCAGCCAGUUCAGUUUCGUGUGAUUGUGCCAUAUUAAUGACAUAUAAAGUGGUGUUCCACUUUCCACAAUGGAGUAUUUUUUUUUUCCACCUUUUAAAUAUAGGAAUUCUCUCUUAAAUUAGAAAGUAGGCAAAAAGUACUUUUUAAAUUUUCAUUUUUAAGUCUUCUAUUAGAAAAAAUAUAGAUUUAUUAAACAAAAAAUAAUAAGAUAGAAAGAAGGGUUGGGCCUCCAUCAAAAAAGUAUAUUAUGCUUCAAUGCAAAGAGAAAGAAAUGGCUCUAUGGGCAAAAUUCAAGUAUGAGUGACCAGUUUUUUAAUCAUAAAGUAGGUGCAACAUUUUUUAAAAUGUUACAACACUGCAUGACCUGUAAUGCUCACAAUAUUUACAUUAACUGCUUACAUGAAACCAUAAAAACUCUAAAAGAGAAAAAAAAUUGGUAUGGACUGAAACAAGCUACUCCUAGCACCCACAUCAAUGCCAUUAUUAACCAAUGAAAUCAAGUGCACAAAAAUACUUUACAUAGUCUACUGAUGUAAAGUAUACAUUGGUGAGGAAGUACAAACCUAAUUAGUUAAAACGCCAAAAGAAGGGGUCAGUCAAUACAAACUCGGUUCUAGGACAGAAAGCAAAGGGAGGAAGAACCUAAAUCGAGACAGGCGCUCGCACACGCACACAUACACACGCACGCAUGUAAUGAUGAGUUAAAACCCACGCGGGUGUGGAAAGACAGUGGGAAAGCAGCUGGCGUGGACAAUGGCCAACAGCAACUGUUUGAAUGAACACGUCAACGCAGGACAGAAAAGCGUGAGCUAAACUACACCCCCAAAAGACAGAAGUUGAGAAAAAUAAUAAAGAAAAUCAAUCACUUCACAUGAGCUUGCAUGGAGGACGGUGGCGUUACAGAAAAGAC